CCUACGGGAGGCAGCAGUGAGGAAUAUUGGUCAAUGGGCGCGAGCCUGAACCAGCCAAGUAGCGUGAAGGAUGACUGUCCUACGGGUUGUAAACUUCUUUUAUAAAGGAAUAAAGCGAGGCACGCGUGCCUUGUUGUAUGUACUCCAUGAAUUAGGCAUGGCUUACUCCGUGCCAGCAGCCGCGGUAAUACGGAGGAUUCGAGCGUUAUUCGGAUUUAUUGGGGUUAAAGGGAGCGUAGAUGGGUUGUUAAGGCAGUUGUGAAAGUUUGCGGCUCAACCGUAGAAUUGCAAUUGAUACUGGCAGUCUUGAGUGCAGUUGAGGUAGGCGGAAUUCGUGGUGUAGCGGUGAAAUGCUUAGAUAUCACGAAGAACUCCGAUUGCGAAGGCAGCUUACUAAACUGCCACUGACAUUGAUGCUCGAAAGUGUGGGUAUCAAACAGGAUUAGAUACCCGAGUAGUC
rnacentral:rRNA from 1 species